rnacentral:rRNA from 1 species
ACGGAGGGUGCAAGCGUUAAUCGGAAUUACUGGGCGUAAAGCGCGUGUAGGUGGCUUGUUAAGCCAGAUGUGAAAGCCCCGGGCUCAACCUGGGAACUGCAUUUGGAACUGGCAGGCUAGAGUUUUGUAGAGGGUGGUAGAAUUUCAGGUGUAGCGGUGAAAUGCGUAGAGAUCUGAAGGAAUACCGGUGGCGAAGGCGACCACCUGGCCAAUAACUGACACUGAGACGCGAAGGCGUGGGUAGCAAACGGG